rnacentral:sRNA from 1 species
GCCAGGCAUGGUGUCGCUCACCUGUAAUCUCAGUGACUUGGGAGGCUGAGGCAGGAGGAUCGUGAGUUCAAAGCCAGCUUCAGCAAAUUAGCAAGGCCCUUACUCACUUAGUGAGACCCUGUCUCAA